CGCUAUCACUCCUACGGGAGGCAGCAGUGGGGAAUAUUGGACAAUGGGCGAAAGCCUGAUCCAGCCAUGCCGCGUGUGUGAAGAAGGUCUUCGGAUUGUAAAGCACUUUAAGUUGGGAGGAAGGGCAGUUACCUAAUACGUGAUUGUUUUGACGUUACCGACAGAAUAAGCACCGGCUAACUCUGUGCCAGCAGCCGCGGUAAUACAGAGGGUGCAAGCGUUAAUCGGAAUUACUGGGCGUAAAGCGCGCGUAGGUGGUUAGUUAAGUUGGAUGUGAAAUCCCCGGGCUCAACCUGGGAACUGCAUUCAAAACUGACUGACUAGAGUAUGGUAGAGGGUGGUGGAAUUUCCUGUGUAGCGGUGAAAUGCGUAGAUAUAGGAAGGAAUACCAGUGGCGAAGGCGGCCCCCUGGACAAAGACUGACGCUCAGAUGCGAAAGCGUGGGGAGCAAACAGGAUUAGAUACCCUGGUAG
rnacentral:rRNA from 1 species